GACGCACGCUGGCGGCGUGCUUAACACAUGCAAGUCGAACGGAGUGGCGAACGGGGGAGUAACACGUGGGUGAUCUUCCUUACACUUCGGGAUAAGCUUGGGAAACUGGGUCUAAUACCGGAAAGGGCAAGAUGAGCUCGCGGCCUAUCAGCUUGUUGGUGGGGUGAUGGCCUACCAAGGCGUAGACGGGUAGCCGGCCUGAGAGGGUGUACGGCCACAUUGGGACGGAGAUACGGCCCAGACUCCUACGGGGGGCAGCAGUGGGUAAUAUUGCACAAUGGGCGGAAGCCUGAUGCAGCGACGCCGCGUGGGGGAUGAAGGCCUUCGGGUUGUAAACACCUUUCGACAGGGACGCGGUACCUGUAUAAGAAGCACCGGCUAACUACGUGCCAGCCGCCGCGGUAAUUC
rnacentral:rRNA from 1 species